rnacentral:rRNA from 1 species
UACGGAGGGUGCAAGCGUUAUCCGGAUUCACUGGGUUUAAGGGGUGCGUAGGCGGCUUGUUAAGUCAGUGGUGAAAGCUCGCAGCUUAACUGUGAAACUGCCAUUGAAACUGACAAGCUUGAGUACGAUUGAUGUGGGCGGAAUACAACAUGUAGCGGUGAAAUGCUUAGAUAUGUUGUAGAACACCGAUUGCGAAGGCAGCUCACAAAAUCGCAACUGACGCUGAGGCACGAAAGCGUGGGGAGCAAACAGG